GUGGGCCCUCGAAGUCCUGUGGCGAGUGGAUUCAACCCGGUCCAGUCCCUCGGAUAUGAGCGUGUGGAUGUCUUCCAGUUAGUCAGUGAUGGCGUUCUACUGGGUUAGGCCUGCACGCGACUCCGGGGGCGGGUGCCGGGGGCAUUUCGCUCUCGCCCAAAAGGACGCCGCAGCGGGCCGGGAAAGAAAGCGACGGCCUGAAAGCCGGACAGGGGCAGGUGGCCGGUGGCGCAAACCCAUCUCAGGGUGUGCCGCCGGUUGUUAGCCGGUCCGGCCAGUGGCUCGUCUCCCGGUCGUGGUGUUCGCUGGUCCCUCGUGGACCCUGCCGCCUCCUCCCUAAGGGGACGUGCGUUGAGCGCCGCAGGAGUGAAACGGCGUCGCGACGCACCCAGAACGGUGUGGUAGCGGCGUAUUUCUCCUCCGCUGGCGGUGCUUGUACGCGCCGGAGGCAGGUGGCUCGCGGCGAGUAGGUCGGUCACCCACCCGACCCGUCUUGAAACACGGACCAAGGAGUCUAACAUGUGCGCGAGUCAAUGGGACUUGAACAGGCCCAGAGGCGCAAUGAAAGCAAAGGCCGACCGAGCGUCGGUUGAGUCGGGAUCCCCGCCUUGUGCGGGGCGCACCGACGGCCCGUCCCGUCCGGCUCGUCCGGUGGGGCGGAGCGUGAGCGUACACGUUGGGACCCGAAAGAUGGUGAACUAUGCCCGGCCAGGACGAGGCCAGAGGAAACUCUGGUGGAGGUCCGCAGCGGUUCUGACGUGCAAAUCKAUCGUCAGAGCCCGGUAUAGG
rnacentral:rRNA from 1 species